rnacentral:rRNA from 1 species
UCCCGGUUGAUCCUGCCAGACCCCACUGCUAUCGGGAUAGGACUAAGACAUGCUAGUCGUGUGCCUCAGCCAAAACGAGGCACGGCGCACAGCUCAGUAACACGUGGCUAACCUGCCCUUAGGACGAGAAUAACCCCGGGAAACUGGGGCUAAUGCUCGAUAGGUGAAGAACUCUGGAAUGAGUCUUCACUUAAAAGAGUCUGCGUUAUGCUCGUAGAUUUCGCUUAAGGACGGGGCCGCGACCGAUCAGGUUGUUGGUGGGGUAAUGGCUCACCAAGCCUUUUACCGGUGCGGGCCGUGAGAGCGGGAGCCCGGAGAUGGGCACUGAGACAAGGGCCCAGGCCCUACGGGGCGCAGCAGGCGCGAAAACUUUGCAUACACGAAAGUGUGACAGGGCUAUCCCGAGUGCCAUCCGCUGAGGAAGGCUUUUACCCAGUCUAGAAAGCUGGGGGAAUAAGGAGAGGGCAAGUCUGGUUCAGCCGCCGCGGUAAUACCAGCUCUCCGAGUGGUGUGGAUGUUUAUUGGGCCUAAAGCAUCCGUAGCUGGCUAAGUUAGUCCCCUGUUAAAUCCAACGAAUUAAUCGUUGGAUCGCGGGGGAUACCGCUUGGCUAGGGGACGAGAGAGGCAGACGGUAUUUCCGGGGUAGGGGUGAAAUCCUAUAAUCCCGGGAAGCCACCAGUGGCGAAGGCUGUCUGCUAGAACGCGCCCGACGGUGAGGGAUGAAAGCUGGGGGAGCGAACCGGAUUAGAUACCCGGGUAGUCCCAGCUGUAAACGAUGCAGGCUAGGUGUUUGGACGGCCACGUGCCGUUCUAGUGCCGCAGGGAAGCUGUUAAGCCUGCCGCCUGGGGAGUACGAUCGCAAGAUUGAAACUUAAAGGAAUUGGCGGGA